AGGUGAGGGUCCUGCUAUGUUACCCAGGCCGGAGUGCAGUGACUACUUACAGGCACGAUCAUAGUGCACUAGAGGCUUGAACUCCUGGGCUCCAGAAUUACUCCUGCCUCAGCCUCCUGAGUAUCUGGGACUAUAGGAGUGCACCACCAUUCUUGGCAUAAUCCUCUUUUUAUGUUGAGUUGAAGAAAGUCACAAGACGUGAGAUGCUUUAUGUUGCAGUUAAUGGUCUCUUCCUCCCUUUUCUCUGUUCCCGCAAAUGGACAAUUCCUUCUCACAAGGUUUUUGGCUUCCCACUUCAGCAUGCCUCCAGCAGUGUUCUAAAAUUACUCUACAAUUGCCAAAGUAAGAGCAGCAGAUGCUCUAAAUCUAUUUCCAGGACACCCGUCUCAUGUCAAG
rnacentral:lncRNA from 1 species